AGGGGAGGGCGCAGCCUCGUCUUGAGUCACAGUCGUCCUUUCUGAGACCGGCCCGUCCCGUCCCGUCCCGGUAGCUUGGGGGCGAAUGGCACCCCAGCGCUUUGUCCCCAUGAAAAAUGCAGCCAGGAGGCAGGUGGGUCUGGAUCAACAUCGUGGUGGGUUGGCUUAUGUCCUUUGGCACAAGCCCUAAAUAUACAACAGCUACAAACAUAAAAUCUGAGCUUUAGUUUUCUUUUGGAAAUUUUGCAUAUUUUUUCCUUUUCUGUAUGUGUUACAUGAAGCAUCUCUCACAAAUUCAUGGGAAAGGUACAAUUUCCAAGAGCUACAUUCUGAUUUAUAUAACAGUACAGCACAAAACCAAUGCAUCGCCCAGUAAACAGACUAGAAACUGGCUCACUGAUAGGCCUCAGAAAUGAACUGUGGGGUGGCCAUCAAGGGACCUCAAGAAUAGAGGACAGUUUCAUUUAGUGCAUAGGGAUUUUUUUAAAACUAAAUUUAGUGCUAAUUCAUAAUAACCACAUCUAUAGAAGCUACCAAAAAGUUAAAUGUUCGAGUGUUCAGUUUGUGUUUUUUUGACACAAUGUGAUGAUAUACAGCUCCGUUUCCUGGGCUGCUGACAUCGAUAUCACAGGGUACAGGAUGUGUGAUGUUCACCCUUUCUGCUUUUCGCUAUGAAAUCACAUUCUUUUGACCAUUCUGAAUUGAAGGUCGUCUUGGACAUUUUGAAUUAAGGGUGAUGUCAAACUGAUUUUGAAGACAAACAUUUAACGGCAGGAAGCAACAGCUGUAACGUAAGGACGUCAUUAGGAAGCAUGACAAAUAGGAUCUUUGUUGGCAUUCUCAGGUCCGAUACAAACACGGGAUUGAUUAAAUGUCAAACAUAUUGACGAAUGAAGACAAGCCAUCUUAAGUUCAAUUGUGGGUUGAAAGGUUGAGUGUCUCCAGAGAAAAAUAGAGGACAUCAAGGCAUCUGGUUUCAUAUCACUAGAGGACAGAGAACAGAGUAGCAGAAAACCAGACUGUCCUCUAUAAAACCGGAUGAAUGGCUACCCUAGUUAAAGGGGAAUGGGUGAUCUGGCUUUAGUCUACCAGUAAUCAGUAUUUUCAGUAAUGAUUUAGAAGAAAGUCUGUAAUCAUGGAGUAUUGAAGCUUGUAGGUGACAUGGAGGAGCGUGCAGUGGUUAAUACUGAUGAGGAGAGGCCACAAAGGUCAGCACAAAGAAAUCUGCUGAUAUAGAGCUGUCAGAAUGGGAUUUUUAUGACUUUUCAAUGCCAGCAAAAGCUUUAGUGUAGAUGCAGGUGUAUUAGCAUACAAGUGCUUUUGCUGGUAUGGAUUUCACUCAAGGAACUAGUAUAGGCUAUACCAGUGGUGCUCAACCUUUUCCCCCUGUUAGUCGGAUGGGCAGCGUCCUGUCCACCUGCAGGCUGGAUCCCGCCAGUGGUCCUGAUCUGGCACCAGGGUGGGUGGGUGCAGUGGGCACCAUCCAGCCACGCGGAGGGGAGUUGGCGGGGGGGGGCAAUGCAGCCACAACCUGGCCCUGAAGGGGAAAGAGGUAUGGCUUGGCCCCAUGAGGGGAGUGGGGUGGAAGGGUAGUGGCCCACCCCUAAACUGGUUUGGAUGGGGAGGAGAGAGAGCAUGGUCCAGUCCUGAUCCAGAUGUGGGGAAGGAGGCAUGGCCCAGCAGCAACCAGCAGUGUAGGACUUGGGGUUUAGGAAUUUGGUAUGGGGAGGGUGACCAUGUUAAUGACCACUGCUUUCCUGGCACCAAAUUUCCCACCCCAUUGGGACUCCUGGGGGCAAGAUAUGAUGGCUUGCAGGCUAUAUUUGGCCCAUGGGUUGGAGAUUGAGUAGCUUUGUAAUGCAUCUACAUUUGCAACAUGCUGUCAUCUGAUCCUUAAUACUGAUUUGCAAAAAAAGGCAAUGAGAUGGGGGCAGGAGGGACCCACACACUUUUUUGCAUUAACUCUUUUUCAAUUGGCCAUGAUGCUCUGGGCAAAUGGGCUAACGCAAUUCUUAGAUGUAUAAGCUGAAGGAAGGAGGUGGGAUUAACUCUAGUUAAAAAUAGGGUUCAAGUGAGCCACAACAAUGAUUGUUGAGUACUAGAACUUAGAAAACUCAGUGUAUUUACUUGCCAAAGAAAGAUGAUGAAGAGGCAGCUUGAUCUAUAAGUACCUACAUGAAGAAAGGCUUUCUGGUAGCAGAGAGCUCCUUAACCUAGCUAACAAAGGUAAAAUGAAAUCCAGUGACUUGUAGUGAAGCCAAAUGAAUUCAGAGUAAAAAUACUGUAUGCAUUUUAAUAGUAUGAAUGAUUAAUAACACAUAAUUAUUUUAAUAGAUUAGAACUCUUUGCCAGGAAUGUGCUAGGUUGUAUAUGACUUAAAAACUUCAUUAAAUGGACAUUCAUUGUCUUUAUAAGGGACGUGUUUCAGCCAUAGAUUUGCAGGCUAGGUACACGAAUUACAGAACAAAAAACCUUUACCUUUUGUUAUACAGGAGAUCAAACAAGAUGGUUCUAGUGGUCCUUUCUGGUCUAACAACUCCUAGAUCUGAUUGGGUUUAUAUGUUUCAAAUAAAAUUGCACCUUAAAGUAUGAUAAACAAGCUUUGAUGCCAAGUGAAAACUGUGAAAGCUUGUCCAGACCUACAAAUGACAUUUAAAUGACCAAAUUAAAACAACAGUGCAUCUUGCACAAGAAUGCAAGAUUGUGACUGGGACCAUGCAAAAUAAAGCAAUCCCAUUUGAUUUAAUUUCUUGUGCUAGUUGCAAAUGUACCCAAUGUUUUAUUAUGCUAAACCACUCAUAAAUAACUGUAUAUUCCUAUGUGACUAUAUCCUCCUUGCUGACACAUUCUCCCUGGAUUAAGGCAUAUUUGUCAGAACAGUUAUUCAGUGUUUGUUUGGAGUUUUGCAAAUGUCUCCAUAAACCAUCACCAACUUAGACUAUUUUGGGUUCUGCCCUAUUGUUAAAAUAACUACCCAAAACACUGUUCUGUGAUCAGUUCUACAAGGUAUCUUGUUCAGUCAAUCAAGACCCAUCCUAUUUGAUUGAAGUGUAACCUCUGGACUGAUCAAAAGUUUGGAAAAAUAAGUUUCACAACUAGACGACCCAAAACAGGAUCUGAGCAGUUAGUAAUUGUAAUGUGGUCCCUCCCUACCUGCUUUGUUUGAACUUUAAUUUACUAACUAUCAAGAAGGAAUGCUUUGAAGCUAUACAGUUAAAUUGUAUAAGAAUGAAAGAGAGUUGCUGGCAAAAGUGUGCACUUCAGGAGAGAGAGAAAAAUCUCUGCAACAUUGUAAUGUGCACCCAGCCCGAUUGAACCCCCGGCCCAGCGCAUUAGGCAGGACCCUGGGAUACGUGGAGUCCAGAUCCCAAGCAGCAGCAAAGAAGAGACCAGGAUCCUGGUGUACACGGAUGACCUGAACAUCCUGUGCCACAAUAAGUGGUCAGUAGAAAGAGCCCUGUGGCGCGCACAGGUUUAUGAAGUGGUAGCAGGGACCAAGGUCAAUGUCUUUUGCAGGACACCUUCUGAGAUCGUGGGGGGUGUUCAUACCAACCAGCAGGAGAUCGUGGCCCAUGGAACACCCCUGGUUCUGCAAGGUUCUGAAUUAGUUCUAGAGUGAAUACAAGCUACAGAACGAAGUCCCCGCAACUGUGUCUAACCACAGGAAGAUACAAGAGGCAGUCAGAGUCAGAGACAUGCUGUCAACUGUGGAGCUGCUCCCUGGCAGUGGUUGCCAGGCCACGUGGGAACAGAUCUUCCACAAGGACCUACAAAAAGACCACAGAGACCUGAACUGGCUAAUAGUCUGUUGCUCACUCCCAGUGAGGGCACAGAGAGGCAGAGAGGUUAACUCAGUUGCCCUAGGGAAAUCUGCCAAGGUGCAUCAGAGAUCAUCAACCACCUCCUAUGGCUCUGCCCAUACGCCAGGGAGGUGUGGAUAAAAGUAAACCAACUCUGCGAAGUGAUGACGGGUUGGACAGAUGAUGAGAGAAGUAGUGCUAUACAGGCACUUUGAUCAGUUCAUGUCCUGCUUCAGGAGCACCCUGUGGAAGUCCAGGAACCUCCUGAUGUACAGGCACACAAAACUGGAGGUAGCAGACUCUGUUAAAAUGGUACUGAGUGAGCUCCAGUCCUGCUACCAAAAAGUGGUAGGAGAGGACAGAGAGGAGGUGGCCAACACCACCUGGCAGAGGGACAGUUGGCACAGGCUCUUGAAAGACCCCGGCCUCAAGGGGAAGCAGGCAGUGACAGCGAAGGAGACAAUGAGUCAACCAAGUCAAGUGACAGCGAUGAGGACAGCAGCAGUGACAGCAGCCGCGGAAUCACCAGGGACAGUGGCAGUGAAUGAACUGAGGGUUUAAAGCUCAGAACUGGAAUAAGAACCAAAGGGACAGUGUACGUGUAACGAGGAAAGGAAGGUGGACGGGAGCACGGGUGUGUGGGUGCAGUUAUUGUAACGGGUACACGGAUGUGAGUUUUUUGGAGACAGGUAUAAGGUUUUGAAAGUGGGUUAAGUUUUGUGAAGAAUGGUAUGCUAGAUGGUGUGUAUAUAUAUAACUAUCUAUUUAUAUAUAGAGCUAUAUAUUUUUCUAAAAAAAAAAAAAAUUGUAACCUGCACCCAGCUGAUCACUCCCGGCCACAGAUCCAUGCCCAGUGAAGGCUGCAAAUAUGGAAACCGCUUCAUGCCUGCAUUGGUGAGAGACACUCUUGCAGCUGACAUAUACUAGGACUUUUGUGAUAGCUCAUCUGAAUAUGAGCUCAGUUUACUGAAUAUUGGGAAGGAGUCUUUUCCUAUCAUUUAGUUUUAUAGCCCAUGUGUGAUAUAGUUAUUAAAGCCUUUCUGUCAUUAAUCGUCAUGUCAAUCCUUAACUGCACUAGGUUCCAAUCCUGCUUUUGACUGUAACAUCAGGUAUUUGGUUACAUUAUCCAUGUGCUGUUUAUACCAGGUGAAUGCUGAUUUUAUAAGGGCCAUGCAUGUCUUUAGUUGUAUAAAUAGAAUUACAUUUGCAAUAUAAAGGUAUCUUGAAAGUU